GUGGGGAAUAUUGGACAAUGGGCGCAAGCCUGAUCCAGCAAUGCCGCGUGCAGGAAGAAGGCCUUCGGGUUGUAAACUGCUUUUGUACGGAACGAAAAGGCUCUGGUUAAUACCUGGGGCUCAUGACGGUACCGUAAGAAUAAGCACCGGCUAACUACGUGCCAGCAGCCGCGGUAAUACGUAGGGUGCAAGCGUUAAUCGGAAUUACUGGGCGUAAAGCGUGCGCAGGCGGUUUUGUAAGACAGAGGUGAAAUCCCCGGGCUCAACCUGGGAAUUGCCUUUGUGACUGCAAGGCUGGAGUGCGGCAGAGGGGGAUGGAAUUCCGCGUGUAGCAGUGAAAUGCGUAGAUAUGCGGAGGAACACCGAUGGCGAAGGCAAUCCCCUGGGCCUACACUGACGCUCAUGCACGAAAGCGUGGGGAGCAAACAGGAUUAGAUACCCUGGUAGUCC
rnacentral:rRNA from 1 species